rnacentral:rRNA from 1 species
AGUGAACGCUGGCGGUAGGCCUAACACAUGCAAGUCGAACGGCAGCACAGUAAGAGCUUGCUCUUACGGGUGGCGAGUGGCGGACGAGUGAGGAAUACAUCGGAAUCUACUUUUUCGUGGGGGAUAACGUAGGGAAACUUACGCUAAUACCGCAUACGACCUACGGGUGAAAGCAGGGGAUCUUCGGACCUUGCGCGAUUGAAUGAGCCGAUGUCGGAUUAGCUAGUUGGCGGGGUAAAGGCCCACCAAGGCGACGAUCCGUAGCUGGUCUGAGAGGAUGAUCAGCCACACUGGAACUGAGACACGGUCCAGACUCCUACGGGAGGCAGCAGUGGGGAAUAUUGGACAAUGGGCGCAAGCAUGAUCCAGCCAUACCGCGUGGGUGAAGAAGGCCUUCGGGUUGUAAAGCCCUUUUGUUGGGAAAGAAAAGCAGCAGGUUAAUACCCCGCUGUUCUGACGGUACCCAAAGAAUAAGCACCGGCUAACUUCGUG